rnacentral:lncRNA from 1 species
CUUUGAAUCUAUCAGUAAAUCACUUUACAGAUGUUCUCUAUAAUUAUCUCUUUACCCUCUUUGACUACUUUUUCAAUUUUAAAAUUCUUAGAGAAAAAGGGUCCUAAGAUUUUAUGUAUCCCAUGACAAUGCAAAAAUAUCUAAAUUAAUUUAAAUUAUUUUGUUUCUAGGAACUAAGUCCACACAGCAGUGAAGAACUUUUUUAAAGAAGGGUUGAAGAACUCCAAGGCAAUGGAGAGCAUCAUGAGCAUGUCAUGGACUUCAUAUGAUCCAAGUGCUUACUCGCUCCAAUUCUUCACUUCUGUACAGUUCAUUUCAUGUUCUAUUAUCGGCAAUAACACAUGAAUUCAAUAUGUUUCUGAGCAGUACAUCCUCUUCCUUUCAGAAACUAGAAAAAAAACUAAUAUCACUAGCAGUUGCCAUCCUCACAGUGGCGAACACAGAGGGGUAGCGGGUAGGCUGAUCUUCUUUGUUUCCUAUCUGUUUGCAAUAUAAUACAUUUAGCUUUUUGUCUAAAACUUGAGAGAAAGGGGGGGAAAAAAAAGCCAUGAAGGGGGUGCCAUAUAUUUCUUCUUAGAUAAUGCAUGAAUUUGGGACCUGAGAAUGUCAUUGCUCAUUAGGUAAUUAGGAUGUGGAACAUAUCACUGAGAAUAUUUAUGUUGGUAACCACUUACUAAACAAAUGUGUAAUUUCAUCUUGUCUUAUUUGCAUGUUCAAGUGGAAAAAUAAGGGAAUCUGCAUCUUGUUUUGUUGUUUCAAACUGUUGGUAAAUAGUACUCAUUCAUUAGGAUAAUGCAGCUAGAAACAACAGUAGCAUUUGGUUCUUAUCAAAGUUAUUUUGUCUGUUAAUAAACAUCCUUACAGAAGCA